rnacentral:rRNA from 1 species
GACGAACGCUGGCGGCGUGCCUAAUACAUGCAAGUAGAACGCGGAAGGCGGAGCUUGCUUCUCUGGAUGAGUUGCGAACGGGUGAGUAACGCGUAGGUAACCUGCCUGGUAGCGGGGGAUAACUAUUGGAAACGAUAGCUAAUACCGCAUAAGAGUAGAUGUUGCAUGAUAUUUGCUUAAAAGGUUCACUUGCAUCACUACCAGAUGGACCUGAGGUGUAUUAGCUAGUUGGUGGGGUAACGGCUUACCAAGGCGACGAUACAUAGCAGACCAGAGAGGGUGAGCGGCCAAGCUGGGAUGGAGACACGGCCCAGAACACUGCGGGAGGCAGCAGUAGGGGAUCUUCGCGAAAGGAAGGAAGGCUGAAUGAGCGACGCCGCGUGAGAGAAUGAGGUUGUCGGGUCGUGAAGGUCAGGUGUAAGAGAAGAACGUGUAUGAGAGUUGAAAGUGCACAUUGUGACGGUACCUUAACAGAAAGGGACGGCUAACUACGUG